CCAGCCCUCGCUACUAGCCAGCUAUGCAUUUCCUGAGCACGCUGUCCCCUGCUGCACAAGGGCUUCUUCAGAAGGUUGCCCUGGAGAAGCCCAGGGUCCCGCCUUGCCCCUGCUUCCCUCUCUCCACAGCCCCACCUCCAGGACUGACGCCCAGAGCACAGGAGCCUCUUCCUCUGUCUCCAGCAGGAACAAACUCUGCAGGGAGGGGGUUGCCACCUGGGUCUCCCCGGGGGAUCACCCAGAGCCCUGCUUGUACUGAUCUCCCCUACUCCCUUACCAGUUGGUUUCUCUAGGAAGAAUUUUCGUAAUAAAUAUUUGCCCUAAACCCUCCUCAUCUCAAGGUCUGUUUCUGCGCAACUCAACUGAAAAUGAAAGCAAACCAAGGAAGGAAAAGGGCCUAAGUGAGUGUAGGGGCACGAAAUCAGUGCACGGGGAAAGAAGAGGCUGUGCAGAGACACAGAAGCAAGGCAGACGGCAGCCCAGCCGUCCUUAGGAGUCUCCUAGUUCAGACCGUUCCAUCACACCUUGCCUACACAAGACAAGCUGGAGACAUGAGACCUGAACAGGAAUGGUCACAGACCUGUAUAGUGCUGCCACUCCCGCCUCGUGUGCUGGGAAACAGUGUGUGUCCACCGCGGGGAGAGAAGACAUCAGUCCUUCUUCAGCCUGUUUUUACAAGCACUGAAAGACACCCGCCGAUGCCCAGCUGCUGUUCACUGCUGUCCUACAUAAAGACAAUCAUUUCCUGGUAGCUCCAGGAAAGCAGCAAUGUCUCGCCCUUCACUACUGUGCGUCAUGGUCCCCAGAACACCCCACAGGACGGCAGGCUCUGCAUCGCUGGAGGGAGUCGAGAGAUGGUCUAGAAGGGGACGGUUGACCUCUCUUUGCCUGAGGUGUCAGGUCUCCAAGGUGGAUUCUUGCCUCUCGCUUCCCCCAAUCCAGCACUGAGAACGCUUGUUGGACAUGCAUUUUGUGGAUUACCAUAAAACCCAAUGUUUGCAUAUUCGUUGCUAUGAAACUGGAGAUGAAGUUUCUUCAAGAAUAUUUACUUCUGGAGACAUUUCUGCUUCUCCUCGCCUCCAUGUGCUGGAUGAGAGCAGUCUGGUGGGCAGGGGUGACCCACAGAGAGCUGGUGGAAAGGAGACAUCCCUGAUGGGGCCGCAGGCUAUCGGGGCCUGCUUGCCUGGACCAAGACUUGCUCCAGGAUUGUGAUGUGUCAACAUUAUGCGUCAACUCAACUGAUUCAAAGGGGGCCCAGCCACCCAGUUAAAUGUUACUCUGGGCAGGUCUGUGAGGGAGUUUCCAGAUGAGCCUGGCAUUUGAAUCUGUGGACUGAGCAAAGCAGAUCUCCCUCCCAAUGUGGGGACUCACCCAAUCUCUCUAGGGCCUGAAGAAGACAAAAUGUGCAGCAAAGUCGAAUGUGCUCUCUCUGCCUGGCAGUGGAGCUGGGACACCAGGCUUCUCCUGUCUUUGGACUGGCAUUGACUCCAGCAGCCUUCCCAGGUCUCCAGCUUGGCGGACCGUAGGAUUCCUCAGCCUGUAUAAUAGCAUGGGCCAGCUCCUUGUCGUAAAUCUUCUGCAGGAAUCUGAGAGACCUCACCUCAGAAGGGACCAGUGCACACUCAGUAAGACUGUUCUCUCUCCUUACAAGUAAUCUCGUGUGAAGACCUCAGGAAUCGUCUUUCUUCAUUCAGGUAUUUGUCAAGGAAAUCUGUCCCACCUGAAAUAUUUCCUUGUCCCUUUCAAUGACACAUGUAUCACAGAAGCAGGAAGCAUUACCCCUGAAACCCUAAAUUCUCUUCAAGUCUAGUUCUUACAGGAGGAACCCUCCAGAAAUUUCUAUGUCUUUGGCUGUAUACUAUUGAUUGGCCCAACCUCUUCCUAACAUCUUACUUCUCCUCUGAUUUAACUUUGCUUCAUUUCUCUGCUUUCCAGGAUUCAUAUUUUUCUAAAAGUUAGUCAUGGCUGUACCCUCUUCUACACUUUCUAGUGAUCACUAAGGGAUAAAAAAAAAUUUAAAAAAUCAAUGAAAAUCCCAACACACCACAUUCCAAUUAGACAUGGUCAAAACCAAACAAGUUUGCCAGUCCUAGUUGAAGUAUCUCUUUUGUUGACUGGGACCUGUGUCUCGAGGCUAGUGCAGAUCAUUCAGGACUAUUUGUGUUGUAUGUGCCAACAAACCCAACUUAAACCUGCUUAACAAAGAUGGAAAAACCUCAGCUCAUGUAACAGAGGUGUCUACAGGUGGAGCUGUUUUAGAAUGGACUUGAUGCAGGGCUCAAACUGUCUUACUAAGAUCCCAGGGCAGCCUGCGCUGCCCCAUGCCUUUCCACUGGCACCAUUAAGCCCAGAGUCCUCUUCAAAAGUUAGCAGCACACAUUUUCUCACUAUUUGGGGCACCCAGCUCUUCAGCAAUCAUUACAUUCGAGGGGCGUGGGAUGUACUGAUUAUUUCAGCUGACUGAUCCAACCCAGGGGGAUUGCUGUGGGGCCUAUCCCGCCAAAAUAGGAAAAAAGGAGAGGCUUCUUUUAUCGAGAUUUUGGGUUCUUUCAUUACCAAAAGUAGGAGAAUAGAUGUUGGUCAGCUAAAAAUUAAUGUUCUGAAAUUGGAGUCUAAGGAUAUUUGGAUAUUUGUGAAUUGACUUCAAAGAGUCUUGAAAUUCCUUGAAAUUAUAUGUCAAAAAGAUAUAAGGGAAAACAUCCAUUUUUUAAAAAAAUAUUUAAUUGGCCUCAAAUUAAUGGCCGCCACCCGCGAGUCUGUUAGAAAGGAGCUUAAAUAUAAUAAUAUGCCAAAGACAUAUCAUCACUAUCAAUUAUCUGUGAUUACUUUUCUUUCUUUCUUUGAAUAGCCCAUUUUUCAACAGAUGAGGAUGCUUGAUACAUAUUACUUGAUUUAGAUAGAUAUUUAGAAAAUCAACGAGACAUUUGUAUUCCAUUGUGGCAAGAAAUAAGGUUAUUAUAAAGAGAUUACCUAAAAUAAAUAUAUGACUUUGUAUUCUGUGAGCCUGCUUUUAAUAGUUUCUCUUUUCAUUAGUGGGAACAAAUAAAACAUUGUAAGAGAGUUCAAGAGCACUGGAAACACUGGAAAAGAGAAAUGCAAGACAGUAAACGUGUAAUAAACUGUCCUUUAAUGGGACCAUUCUGCAAAUACUUUAAAAAUCGUAAUAGUAAUAAUGGCAAUAAUAAUAAUUAGGACUUUCAGUCUGUAGUGUCUUCCUACUAAGGCCUAUAAAGCAUUUCGAUAUAAUGGGAUAAUAUUCACGACAAAGGAAGAGCCCUAGCCAUAAAUGUCCACGGCACUUAAGCACUAAUGAGGAACUCUGGCAUUCCAUGGCUUGUAAAAGCAUUUCUUCUAAGUACUUCUCAAAGCUAGGAGCACAGUCAGUGUUAGCUGGAAGCAGGGAGAGGGAAAAGCAGGUGAACAGGUUCAGCAGACAAGGCACAGAGUCUUUUUCACUGGUCAUCAGCGACACGGAGCCCUGGAUCCACAGUGUUUCAUGCCCCCCUGAAUCUCGUUAUCAUACUCAGAAGUUGGCCAAGCCUCCUCUCCCCGCAUCUGCUGGUGGCUGCCUCACAUAGCUCAGGACUUCAUCUUUUUCUUGGAGUAAGCUAACUGACUCAAACUAGAGGGAGAUUUCUGAAACACAAAUCAGACGUCCCAUUUCUUAAAAUUUUAAGUGUCCCUCAAGCUCAUUCAGGGUGAAUGCUCCCUGCCUCCCACAACUGGGCUCUAAUUUUCUAAUUGGUGGUCUUAGGAAUGGAAUCCUAGCUCUGGAGUUGGCCAGACCCUGAUCUGCUGCAUUAAGUAGCUCCGGGGCUUUGAGAACCCCUUAGCAUGUUUAUGCACCAACUUCACCUAUAAAACUAACAUAAAAACGAACCCUACUUUGUUGACAUGCUCUGAGAAUUAAGGGAGAAAUGAGGGGCUCAAGGGACCCCAGUACAAGUAUUCACUGAAAUGUCUGGCCGAGAUUGUCCUCUCUGAAGAGCUCCAUGGGAGCUGGAUAUCAGUGGUGCUUGAAGUCCACCUUCAUCCAGUGCUGAGCUGAUGGGGGACCCUGAAAGCCACCCAUCGGCUGAGUCAUAGAGCGAACUUAAAGGCUCCGACAGCAGCAUCACGCAUACACACGGGAGCACUCAGAGAAGAGUAAUUCAAAGGGGUGGGGGUUUGAACUUGGGCUUAUAGAGCAUCUUACCAAAAGAGCAACACGUUUGUACAGAAGUGGCAAGACCUAAGGAAAAGAAUUUUGAGUUCCUAGGGCAGCAAGUUAUAAGGAAGUGAGUCUCUGGGGACAGUGGAAGAUAAAGCCUAGUUAGUGAGGUUUGCUGUGUAGACCCUCUGUGUCAUCUCCAGGCUGAUCGGGGUCUAGGGUUAAUUCUGGUGAUUAACUUCUGUCUUUCCUGGAGGGGGGAUGGAGCACCUUUAUAAACUUAUGUGCUAUUUUGAGGCCAACGAGGCAGACGGCUUUUCUUCUACCGGCUCCUUCUCCGUCAUCUUCAGCUUAGAAUAACCCUUCUGCUAACGUGGCACAACUUGGGGGGACAUCAUCGGAACCCCUUCUAUGUCUCUGAUGCUCUCUUGGAGUUCAGUCCGUCCCGACCCGCUCAGUAGCCACCGUACUCAUGGAUCGCGUGAGAUGCUAGAUAAACAGACGACUGACCAACAACCCUCCGUUUGUCCGGCUUUAGUCCUUUGCCCUCUGAGAUCCUCUCCUUCUGUCUCCUUUGAAAUCUUUCUUUCCUCCCCUCCUCUUAAUUGCAGUUCCCUGAGAAUUCAUCUCUGACUCUUCUUCUCUUCCAAUCCUGCCGACUGACCCUUUUCUGGAGCCCAGGGUCUCACCCUUGAACUCCAGGGCAGCGCACCCACACCAGAGGCAAGCGAGCCCCACCCCCGCCAUCAUCCAGGCUUCCACCUGCUCCCUCCCUGCCUCCCUCCUGCCCUCACAGAGGAAGCCACAGAGCCCCCAGGCCAGACGUGCCAUGGUCACCCUCAGUUCCCGCCUGUUCCUCAGCACCUCCUGCCCAGUCACAUCUACAUAUCCCUCAGCUCUGGCUCUGCAUUCCCCGGAGCUGCCUGAGCUCAGCUUCUCUUCACAUAGUCCUGGGAUUGCCCCAGCAGCCUGAGCCUGGCUCUUCCUGUCACAGAUUUCACCCUCCUAGAUGUAGUGAAUCUUCUGGGAGCCGAGCGUUGAUAUGAAAUGCAAAUUUUAUGCCUGCGUAAAGGACUGAGCCUCAUACGAUCUUCCUCAACCUCCCGGACUGAAACUGCAACUUGGGUCUGAGGAGGGGAUGCCCCCUCCCCGCCCUUAGGAGGUAACCCCGGCACUGUCUGUGGCUUCUGGGGUGCAGCAAGUGUUACUCUCCUGCAGGAAGCUCUUUGAUACCUGUGCCCAAUUAAGGGCUCCUGGGACUCGAGGGACACAGUCACUCUCCACACAUGGGCCCCCAGAGGGGAGACCAGAUGACCAGUCUGAGAAAGGAUAGACAACACUGGCUCCCUCUGGCUCCUCCCCAUCUUGGAGGCCUGCUUCUCUGUUGCUUUGGUCUAAAGGACAACAGGAUCUUCUACCUUAAGAUGUGCAGCUCUGGCAUACGGGUUCUUCUGAGCUGAAGGCUUUGGAAGAGAUGCCGGGGGAGGCUUUCUCUGAACUCCCCACACUGUGUGAAGACAGAUCCUCCAAAAGGACCUCAGGGUACUCAGCCCCUUCCCAAGAGUUUCACCAACCAAGAAGAUUGACUUGUCACACGAGAGGAGACAUGAAGCGGACCCCCCGCACC